CCUACGGGAGGCAGCAGUAGGGAAUCUUCCACAAUGGGCGAAAGCCUGAUGGAGCAACGCCGCGUGGGUGAAGAAGGUCUUCGGAUCGUAAAACCCUGUUGUUAGAGAAGAAAGUGCGUGAGAGUAACUGUUCACGUUUCGACGGUAUCUAACCAGAAAGCCACGGCUAACUACGUGCCAGCAGCCGCGGUAAUCCGUAGGUGGCACGCGUUAUCCGGAUUUUUUGGGCGUAAAGGGAACGCAGGCGGUCUUUUAAGUCUGAUGUGAAAGCCUUCGGCUUAACCGGAGUAGUGCAUUGGAAACUGGGAGACUUGAGUGCAGAAGAGGAGAGUGGAACUCCAUGUGUAGCGGUGAAAUGCGUAGAUAUAUGGAAGAACACCAGUGGCGAAAGCGGCUCUCUGGUCUGUAACUGACGCUGAGGUUCGAAAGCGUGGGUAGCAAACAGGAUUAGAUACCCGAGUAGUC
rnacentral:rRNA from 1 species